GUUGCUCCUAGAUUGAUUUUGAUGACUACAAAACAGUUUGAAGGGAUACAAAUAUUUUUUAUUUGAAAAAGACCUUAUGCUCUACAGGGGCAAAAUCGUAAUUUUAUCAAAACUCUGAUUUGAUAGCAUCAUCGUGUAGAACAAAUGAUAUGUAAUCUAUUGGUGAAAGUUUCAUGGUUUUUGGACUUAUAUUUUUGGAGUUAUGAAGGUUAGAAGUUCAUGAGUCGACUCAUGAGUCAACUCAUGAAACUAUGAGCUGAUUGGCAUGCAAAGAUUAGCCAUGGCACGCUGGUUUUCUGGCUUGGCACGAUCUGUGAGUCGACUCAUGAGUCGACCCACAAGGCAUGAGUCGACUCAUGAGUCGACUUCUGCUGUUUUGGGCCAAGAAAAUUCAGAAACCAAAUCUCUGGACUUUGCAAUAGAGGUCGACUCAUGAGUCGACCCCUGAGGCAUGAGUCGACUCAUGAGUCGACUCAUAUGACGGGAUUUGCCCGUAACGACUAGUUUUUGGCC
rnacentral:lncRNA from 1 species